rnacentral:rRNA from 1 species
GAACUGAAGAGUUUGAUCAUGGCUCAGAUUGAACGCUGGCGGCAGGCCUAACACAUGCAAGUCGAGCGGAUGAAGGGAGCUUGCUCCUGGAUUCAGCGGCGGACGGGUGAGUAAUGCCUAGGAAUCUGCCUGGUAGUGGGGGAUAACGU